rnacentral:rRNA from 1 species
AUUGAACGCUGGCGGCAUGCCUUACACAUGCAAGUCGAACGGCAGCACGGGAGCUUGCUCCUGGUGGCGAGUGGCGAACGGGUGAGUAAUACAUCGGAACGUACCCAGUAGUGGGGGAUAACGCACCGAAAGGUGCGCUAAUACCGCAUACGACCUACGGGUGAAAGCGGGGGACCGUAAGGCCUCGCGCUAUUGGAGCGGCCGAUGUCUGAUUAGCUAGUUGGCGGGGUAAAAGCCCACCAAGGCGACGAUCAGUAGCUGGUCUGAGAGGACGAUCAGCCACACUGGGACUGAGUCACGGCCCAGACUCCUACGGGAGGCAGCAGUGGGGAAUUGUUCGCAAUGGGGGAAACCCUGACGAAGCAACGCCGCGUGGAGGAUGAAGGCCUUCGGGUCGUAAACUCCUGUCGACCGGGAAGAAUGCACCUGACCUAAUACGUCGGCGUGUUGACUGUACCGGUGGAGGAAGCCACGGCUAACUCUGUGCCAGCCGCCGCGGUAA